AACGCUGGCGGCGUGCCUAAUACAUGCAAGUCGAGCGAACGGACGAGAAGCUUGCUUCUCUGAUGUUAGCGGCGGACGGGUGAGUAACACGUGGAUAACCUACCUAUAAGACUGGGAUAACUUCGGGAAACCGGAGCUAAUACCGGAUAAUAUUUUGAACCGCAUGGUUCAAAAGUGAAAGACGGUCUUGCUGUCACUUAUAGAUGGAUCCGCGCUGCAUUAGCUAGUUGGUAAGGUAACGGCUUACCAAGGCAACGAUGCAUAGCCGACCUGAGAGGGUGAUCGGCCACACUGGAACUGAGACACGGUCCAGACUCCUACGGGAGGCAGCAGUAGGGAAUCUUCCGCAAUGGGCGAAAGCCUGACGGAGCAACGCCGCGUGAGUGAUGAAGGUCUUCGGAUCGUAAAACUCUGUUAUUAGGGAAGAACAUAUGUGUAAGUAACUGUGCACAUCUUGA
rnacentral:rRNA from 1 species